AUCCCAGACUCCUACGGGAGGCAGCAGUGAGGAAUAUUGGUCAAUGGCCGAGAGGCUGAACCAGCCAAGUCGCGUGAGGGAAGACGGCCCUACGGGUUGUAAACCUCUUUUGUCGGGGAGCAAAGCGAGUCACGUGUGACUCAUUGAGAGUACCCGAAGAAAAAGCAUCGGCUAACUCCGUGCCAGCAGCCGCGGUAAUACGGAGGAUGCGAGCGUUAUCCGGAUUUAUUGGGUUUAAAGGGUGCGCAGGCGGCGAGUUAAGUCAGCGGUAAAAUUUCGGGGCUCAACCUCGUCGAGCCGUUGAAACUGGGUGCCUUGAGUGGGCGAGAAGUACGCGGAAUGCGUGGUGUAGCGGUGAAAUGCAUAGAUAUCACGCAGAACUCCGAUUGCGAAGGCAGCAUACCGGCGCUCAACUGACGCUCAUGCACGAAAGUGUGGGUAUCGAGCAGGAUUAGAUACCCGCGUAC
rnacentral:rRNA from 1 species